rnacentral:rRNA from 1 species
CUACGGGUCGCUGCAGUGGGGAAUAUUGGACAAUGGGCGAAAGCCUGAUCCAGCAAUGCCGCGUGUGUGAAGAAGGCCUGCGGGUUGUAAAGCACUUUCAGUUGGGAAGAUUAUGACGUUACCAACAGAAGAAGCACCGGCUAACUCCGUGCCAGCAGCCGCGGUAAUACGGAGGGUGCAAGCGUUAAUCGGAAUUACUGGGCGUAAAGCGCGCGUAGGCGGCUUGGUCAGUCAGAUGUGAAAGCCCCGGGCUUAACCUGGGAAUUGCAUUUGAUACUGCCAAGCUAGAGUAUGGUAGAGGGUAGUGGAAUUCCAGGUGUAGCGGUGAAAUGCGUAGAUAUCUGGAGGAACAUCAGUGGCGAAGGCGACUACCUGGACCAAUACUGACGCUGAUGCACGAAAGCGUGGGGAGCAAACAGGAUUAGAUACCCCUGUAGUC